UCCGCCUGGGGAGUACGGUCGCAAGGCUGAGACUCAAAGGAAUUGACGGGGGCCCGCACAAGCGGUGGAGCAUGUGGUUCAAUUCGACGCAACGCGAAGAACCUUACCCGGACUCGAAAUGUGGCCGGCCACUCCAGAGAUGGAGUUUUCCCGCAAGGGACGGCUGUAUAGGUGCUGCAUGGCUGUCGUCAGCUCGUGUCGUGAGAUGUUGGGUUAAGUCCCGCAACGAGCGCAACCCUUACCCUUAGUUGCUCGUCCGCAAGGAAAGCACCCUAAGGGAACCGCCUCGGACAACGGGGAGGAAGGUGGGGAUGACGUCAAGUCCUCAUGGCCUUUAUGCCCAGGGCUACACACGUGCUACAAUGGCCGGUACAAAGCGUCGCGAACCCGCGAGGGGGAGCCAAUCGCCAAAAACCGGUCUCAGUUCGGAUUGCAGUCUGCAACUCGACUGCAUGAAGCUGGAAUCGCUAGUAAUCGCGUAUCAGAACGACGCGGUGAAUACGUUCCCGGGCCUUGUACACACCGCCCGUCAAAUCACGAAAGUGGGUUGUACUGGAAGUCGCAAUUCUAACCGCAAGGAAGAUAACGCCUAAGGUAUGACUCAUGAUUGGGGUUAAGUCGUAAC
rnacentral:rRNA from 1 species